UACGUAGGUGGCAAGCGUUAUCCGGAAUUAUUGGGCGUAAAGCGCGCGCAGGCGGUUUCUUAAGUCUGAUGUGAAAGCCCACGGCUCAACCGUGGAGGGUCAUUGGAAACUGGGGAACUUGAGUGCAGAAGAGAAGAGCGGAAUUCCACGUGUAGCGGUGAAAUGCGUAGAGAUGUGGAGGAACACCAGUGGCGAAGGCGGCUUUUUGGUCUGUAACUGACGCUGAGGCGCGAAAGCGUGGGGAGCGAACCGG
rnacentral:rRNA from 1 species